UCUAAUUUUAUCCUUAAUUUCAAAUUAUCAUUGAAUCAAUAACCCUCGGUUAAAAAGAAUUUUUCAACGCGACGAAAAUCUCUCAUUUAACCAAUUAAUCCAAAUAAAAAGUGCGUUCAAAAAACUUUUGCGAAAACUUUAAUUCAUAAAUCGUACGAAAUUUUUCAACUUGCGGACAAUAUUCGUUAAAAUUCCGCAAUCUUUUUCGUUCUGACCUUCCCCAGACUUUUUCUCGACUUCCACCUACAACGAUUUCGAAGUUUCGACGGAUAAAAAAAUAUUCAGUGCAAAGAUAAAAAGGAAAAAAGGAAAGGAAUUCUUAUCGACGAUUAUAAUUAUUUACAUACGAGCAAGCCUCGUUUCGGCGAGGAAACGAACGUUUCGAACGUUCGUUUACAUUCGGUAUGUUUAUCGUGUAUAUAAGUCGGAUAUAAGCGACGCGAUCUCGACCUUUUCGCUUAUAAAUUAACGGGACGCCGGGUGCGAUGGUUGUGCGCGCGGGACCCGCGACGGGAAAUAGUGCGUGAAACGUAACUUUAUACGUUGAACCAAUACCGUUGCAACGAUGCGUUCCAUCGGUGCAGCAACCAACAUACGUGGUGCACGCCGCGCCGGCUACAUAAUAUCACAAUGCGGCCUGCUUGUAAACACACGUGGGAUUCUCCGAGGGGGAGGGAGGGGGAGGCCUGGGGAAUAAAGCUGCCACAAUAACGCAUUGUAAAACGGUAGAACGGAUAUACUGGAAGGGAGAGGAGAAAGAAACGGAAGAGACAAAGGAUCGAAAAGAGAAAUGAAACGGGCGAUACAUUUGCUCGCGCUUAUCGUUGGCUACGUUCGAGUUUCACUAGGGGUGGAUAAAUUGUGGGGGUGGGGGGAGGGGGUGGGUUGUAUGCGAUGGUAUUCUUCCAUUUUUUUUUUUUUUGCAAUGAGUAACAAAUCGAUAGUUUAAUAUCUAUAAUAGUUGUUGCGUGUGAAAUAACUUCCGGUGAACUUUAUAGUAGAUGUUUAAAGAUAUAGAUUAGAUACAAUAUUUUACUGAAAUAGGUUUGAAUAGGUUUUUUUAUGCGAGUUGUAUACAGUUUUUAUUGAAGAAGUAGUUUUUAGUUAUUUCGAAAUUGAUGGAAAAAUUAAAAAUUAUUGUUCAAAAUUAGCUCGAUUUCUAAACUAUAUUUCAAGGUUUAUUUUUGAGGAAAAUAUAGAAUCAACGAUCAAACGCGAAUAUAAAUAGUAGUUAGGUAUAUCGGAAGGUUUCGAGGAUAGCUUUUGGCUUUUAUAGGUUUCUUGGAAGUAUAAGAUCGUAAUAGUAAACUCUAUUUCCACGUUUUAUCGAUAUUUUUCCAAAAUUGAUAUGAUCAAAAUAUUAAAAUAAUUAUAAAUCUUCACGGAGGGAAAUAUCCAAACAUUUUCUAUUCCGUUUUACCAUUCCUUCAAUUGGAACAAAAAAUUUAUAAAGCUAUUUGUUGUAUAACUUCGAGAAAAUAUUCAAAGCGUAGCAUACGAAUAUUUGAAAAAUAAAUCAAUCCUCCUUUAUUUGAAUUAUUCUCUAAUUAAUUCUUUCUUAUUCGUUGAAAAAUUUGAUUUAUACAUUCGUAAUCUAUUAAUCAAAAUUCCAAUUAAUCGAUCCCCGUAUCCACUAUCAUUUUCCCUUCACUUUUAAACGAACGUCCAUCCCAAAGAUGUCCCAAAUCGAUCCUCCCACCAUUUUCCACGGUUCCACAAUCCCCUCGAAACCGAUUUUUCCGCAAAAACGAGCCACGUUUCGCUCGUUUUUCACCUUGUCCUCCCCCGAACAAGUACCGAACCGAGGAAAAAUGGCCACGAAUCCCAGCCCCGUCGUUCCAUCGUGUCCGAGAAGAGAGCAGCGGAAAACGCAGCGUCCCCGAAAUUCGCCUGGCAACCACCCCCUCCCUCUCUCUCUUCCCUCCCUCUUACCUCCCUCCCUUCUUUCUUUAUCUUUCUCCCUCUCUCUUUCCCUCUCUCCCUCCUCUUUUUUUUCUCUCGUUCGUCCAGAUACACUUUUGUUUCGCUCCGUUUAAUGGUCGUGAAUUUUCAGAAUGUCUCCCCGGGGGCUGGCUGAAAAUGAAUUUCACGUAGUGAAACGCGACGGUGCAUCGACCUCGCGGCCGAUCGAUAUCCCUCCACGCUCGGGUCUCGCGAAGGCACCGGCUAACGCACGGAAAUGUUCACCCGGGAGAUUUCAAUUUUUAUCCCGUGUAUUACGAGGAGGAGGAGGGGAGGGAGGGAGGACGGGGUGGGGAAAAAAAUUCGUUCGAUCCUUCGAAAACUUGCAACGGGGUUUGCAAUCGUUCCGAUCUCUUUUCGUUUAACCGCGAAGCAUCGUCUCGCAUGGACCGGAAGUGACGUUGGUGGAACAGUUGGAGAAGUGGUAGAAUAUACUUUGCUAGAGCAAAUUUUAUUUAUUUUUUUUUUUUUUUCAGUUUUUGAAGUAUCGUCUCGUGCGGACCGGAAGUGGCGUCGAUGGAACAGUUGGAGAAGUGGUAGAAUAUACUUUGUUAGAGCAAAUUUUAUUUAUUUUUUUUUAUGUUUUUUUAAACUUUUGUGGGUGGUUGAUUCUUUGAAAAAAGGAUUGAUAGGGUCAAUUUGAUACGAGUAAGAAAGAAAUACGAUUCUUUUUUAGUUUGGUGAAAUAUUUGCGAAUCAGAAUUUUCGUUUCGGGAAUAUUAUCUAUCGUAAUUAGUUUUGAAUUACCGGCUACGCGUAAAACAAUCGAGUUCCAGACGAUUUUAAUGCAUUAUCCUUAAGUAUUCUAUCGGCAAUCGAACCACGGUUACGAUAAUCGUAGAAGUUUUAAUUGAGUGGAGUGGGAAUGGAAAAGGGGAAAUGGUAGAAAAGAGUAAGGAAAAACGAAAAUGGUAGAAAUUCUCGAUUGUGUUUCGAUUUCUGUUUUUCAAAAAAAGAAAAGAGAGAGGACUUGCAUAAAAAUAACAAUCAAUAGAAAUAGAAUAUCGCAAUAUCGAGAUAAAUGAAUGGUGGAAUUCAUUUCUUGCGAAUAAUUUCAAGGAAAAAUAAUCGUAGCAAUCUUCUUUAGGAUCGAGAUUCAAAUAUCAAUAUUCUCUUUAAGUAUUUAAUGAUGGAUUUUUAUGCAGAUUUUUAUUAAAAUGUGUUCAAAUGUUUAACUAAUGUUACAGAUUACGAAUGGAUCUGUCCAGUGACCCACAUUUUUUCCUGGAAAUGCGUAUUAGGUUCUUCCAGGAAUCUCGUCUGUCACUUGUCUGGGAAUUUGGGAUAGAAUCCCUUUCUGCAGUUUGAAAGGGAGGCUGCAGCCACCCCUUAGCCGCACGAAAAUCAGGACAAAGAGGCAUUUUGCCGUAACGCGAUACAUCACGUCGCGGGGGUGGUUGGCUCGAAAAAAGAAAAGGAAGAAAUGCAAGAAGAAUUGGAAAGAGGAGGAACAGGAUUUUCUGUGUCACCGAUUUAAUCCCACUGCGUGAUCCUACUUUCGACGCCGCUCCAACGAAAUAUUUCCUUAAAGGAGACAGGAAGGCAUUAAAGACUUGUUCGGCGAAAUCGAUGAAGCCCCCGUUUACGAUUCUCCCAUUGGUCACGGAUAUGAAAUAUGGUCGGGCACGAGAGUGCACGGAGCUGGCCGUAGGUUCCAUGGAAACCCGGGACAAGCUACGUUAUUACCGGUUCUCUGGCAUUUAUCUUCGUCGGACGAAGAGGUGGUAUCGAACGAAAGCCACGAGAAUCGACGAUCAACAAUGAAGAAAAGACGCCUCGAAGGAGGGAUUGGCGUCUUUUUUCUAAUCGUGGUAAAUUGAUUCGGUCGUGACUGAUUCCCUUUGCUGGUGGAGGAAGCUCGUCGAAAAGGGUGAACCGGCGAGACGUGGCAAAAGGGGUGACAUGACGUCACGUUUAACUUUAACUGGCGUUAUUUUUACCCUUUGUGUGAGCGCACAUCCACGGUUGAAAAAGUGAUGACGUAAAACGGAAAAUUCCGAUCCAGAUUGCUGGACUCGUCAAGUUUGGCUUUUUUAGAUGUUUUUAUUUUUUAAUCGUGUCUUAUAUUUGUCGAUAUUUCGUUCUUUUUUUUUUUUUUGAUAUUGAAUUAAUGAAAGAGUAAUAUAGGGUUUAAAACAAGAAUGAUAAUAUUCGAGAAGGUGUUGUGCUUUUAAACUCUUGCUUUUAGUCGUUUUGACUCGCAAAUUGUGGCAUUAUAAUUUAUUUACCAAGUAGAAUUCGGAUAUCGAAGCGAAAGGGGCGAUAAUACAAAGUUGGGAUAUUACAAAAGAAAGAGAUUCGAGCGAGGAACGAUUUAAUAUCCUCCGCGGAGCAAAAGGAUUUUACGGUGG
rnacentral:lncRNA from 1 species